UGCUGCUGCGGUACAGACGGAACAAUAUUGAUUUUCACAAGAUCUCGGAAGUUAAGCAAUCUCGGGCUUGGUUAGUACUUGGAUGGGUGACCGCUUGGGAAUACCAAGUGUGAUGAGCAU
rnacentral:rRNA from 1 species